CAUUCCUUGACACGGGGGAUCCAUUGACAAAACGAGAUAAAAAUCUCUCUCGGUUCCUGGUGGCUUAGGAUGUUGACUGGCAGAACGAGGAUAUUAUAUCAAAUAGAGUACUCUCCGUUCACUUGGACUUUCUUUCCCACUGAACUCGGAGACUACAUGUCCCUCAUCGGGCGAUGCUAGUGGAGGUCAGCUGAAGAACUCGGAGAUUUCGACUUUGGCAUUGCGGGCUGACUUUGCUCCAUCGGACCGUAGCAAAUGCCUGGUUGAUCGCUUCGGUGGCGAACUCUAUAAACACAAACGCGGGGUGUUUACGAGAAAUGAUGGCGGUUGCUUGCUGGGGGUCCGAGGACCUUGAGCCCAACUACGCGCGGUGGCGCUGUCUGGAACGGACAGCCCAGAAUUAAGUUACGGC
rnacentral:sRNA from 1 species